GGUUAUGGCUCAGUGGUAGAGUGCUUGCCUAGCAUAUGUGAGGUCCUGGGUUCAAUCCUCAGCACCA
rnacentral:tRNA from 1 species